ensembl:snoRNA
AGGUGCUGCCUUGGAACCCCUGUGGUGCCUGGCCCGUGGCCUCAGGGAGCUGGUGGCGGUGCCAGAGCAAACCCAGCUUGUUCAGAUCCGGGGCUGCUUACGUGCCACCUAAGCAAUCCCUUUGGCAGCGAGUGACAUUC